AUGAACGCUGGCGACGUGGAUAAGGCAUGCAAGUCAAGGGGGCCCGCAAGGGCAACCGGCGAACGAGGUAGUAACACGUAGGUACGUACCCUAGAGUCUGGCAUAGCUCAUCGAAAGGUGGGGUAAUUCCAGAUAGUCUCGAAAGAGUAAAGUCGUAAGACGCUCAAGGAACGGCCUGCGGAGUAUCAGCUAGUUGGUAAGGUAAUGGCUUACCAAGGCUAUGACGCUUAGGGGAGGUGAGAGCCUGACCCCCACCGAUGGGACUGAGACACGGCCCAUACACCUACGGGUGGCUGCAGUCGAGAAUCUUCCACAAUGGGCGAAGGCCUGAUGGAGCGACGUCGCGUGACUGAUGAAGUCCUUAGGGACGUAAAGGUCUUUUAUAGAGGAGAAAACUACGCUUGCGUAGUGUGAUAGUACUCUAGGAAUAAGGGGUUGCUAAACUCGU
rnacentral:rRNA from 1 species